rnacentral:miRNA from 2 species
CAGGGAAUCUCUGUUACUGGGG